CAGCAGCAGCCGCGGUAAUACAGAGGGUGCGAGCGUUAAUCGGAUUUACUGGGCGUAAAGCGUGCGUAGGCGGCUUCUUAAGUCGGAUGUGAAAUCCCUGAGCUUAACUUAGGAAUUGCAUUCGAUACUGGGAAGCUAGAGUAUGGGAGAGGAUGGUAGAAUUCCAGGUGUAGCGGUGAAAUGCGUAGAGAUCUGGAGGAAUACCGAUGGCGAAGGCAGCCAUCUGGCCUAAUACUGACGCUGAGGUACGAAAGCAUGGGGAGCAAACAGGAUUAGAUACCCCGGUAGUCCCUGUCUCUUAUAA
rnacentral:rRNA from 1 species